UGGGGAAUCUUCCACAAUGGACGCAAGUCUGAUGGAGCAACGCCGCGUGAGUGAAGAAGGUCUUCGGAUCGUAAAGCUCUGUUGUUGGUGAAGAAGGAUAGAGGCAGUAACUGGUCUUUAUUUGACGGUAAUCAACCAGAAAGUCACGGCUAACUACGUGUCAGCAGCCGCGGUAAUACGUAGGUGGCAAGCGUUGUCCGGAUUUAUUGGGCGUAAAGCGAGCGCAGGCGGAAUGAUAAGUCUGAUGUGAAAGCCCACGGCUCAACCGUGGAACUGCAUCGGAAACUGUCAUUCUUGAGUGCAGAAGAGGAGAGUGGAACUCCAUGUGUAGCGGUGGAAUGCGUAGAUAUAUGGAAGAACACCAGUGGCGAAGGCGGCUCUCUGGUCUGCAACUGACGCUGAGGCUCGAAAGCAUGGGUAGCGAACAGGAUUAGAUACCCUGGUAGUCCAUGCCGUAAACGAUGAGCGCUAGGUGUUGGGG
rnacentral:rRNA from 1 species